GGGAAUUACGAGCAUCAGUUUAAAACCCAAAGGACUUGGCGGUGCUUAACAUCCACCUAGAGGAGCCUGUUCUAGAACCGAUAACCCCCGUUCAACCUCACCCUCCCUUGCUUUUCCCGCCUAUAUACCACCGUCGUCAGCUUACCCUGUGAAGGCCUAAUAGUAAGCAGAAUUGGCAUAGCCCAAAACGUCAGGUCGAGGUGUAGUGCAUGAGAGGGGAAGAAAUGGGCUACAUUCGCUAGUAGUAGCGAAUACGAAUGUUGCAUUGAAAUAUGCGACUGAAGGAGGAUUUAGCAGUAAGCARAAAGCAGAGCGUCCCGCUGAAACUGGCCCUAAAGCGC
rnacentral:rRNA from 1 species